AGCGAACGCUGGCGGCAGGCUUAACACAUGCAAGUCGAGCGGGCAUAGCAAUAUGUCAGCGGCAGACGGGUGCGUAACGCGUGGGAACGUACCUUUUGGUUCGGAACAACUGAGGGAAACUUCAGCUAAUACCGGAUAAGCCCUUACGGGGAAAGAUUUAUCGCCGAAAGAUCGGCCCGCGUCUGAUUAGCUAGUUGGUGAGGUAAUGGCUCACCAAGGCGACGAUCAGUAGCUGGUCUGAGAGGAUGAUCAGCCACAUUGGGACUGAGACACGGCCCAAACUCCUACGGGAAGCAGCAGUGGGGAAUAUUGGACAAUGGGCGCAAGCCUGAUCCAGCCAUGCCGCGUGAGUGAUGAAGGCCCUAGGGUUGUAAAGCUCUUUUGUGCGGGAAGAUAAUGACGGUACCGCAAGAAUAAGCCCCGGCUAACUUCGUG
rnacentral:rRNA from 1 species